AUGCACUCCCCCCCCCCCCGCCCCACCACCCCCUUCCUUUUCCACCGUCCACCGGAAACUAGAUGGUAUUUAUCCCCAAGGAUGGUAUCUUGUCAGUGUCUGUCCCACGUUCUGGCUGAAAAAGUUCUCUGGAGUGAUGUGGAGGUGUCCAAAAAUCCACGCCGUGUGGAAGGGACUGUUUCCUGGAGUGGGAUGGACAAGGUGGGAGGAAAGGGAAAUGAGAAAACCACUUCUGAUGGGCAGCGGGUGUGUGAGCGUGUAAGAGUGUUUUGGUCCUCACACCGCCCUCCCCCCCUCAGCUCUCCACCCCGCGAGGAGGAGGGACUGCCACGCGGGUGCCUCGCUCGUUCGCUAGAACUCCGGGUCGGGACUGCCCCGGGAUUCAAGGGGGGCUCGAAAGGGGGCAGGCCUCUGCUCCCCCUUCCCAGGGGCCAGACCCCCUCCCGCGCAUUUCCCAUCACACCCCCAGGCCUCCGCUCCCACGCCGCUCGGACCCCAGCCCCCCGCGCGCCCCGGGCCCAGUCGCCCGGCCCCUUCCCUGGCACCCGCACCCCCGCCCGCAGCCGAGGCUCCAGAUGGCGGCUCCUCGCGCUCGGCUCGCGGCCCCCAGACGCCGCCCGGCAGCAGCCGCCGGUCUCUCCCUCCCUCCCAGCUGCUGCGGCUGCGGAGACGGCGACUGCUCGGCGAGGAGGGCGGGUUCCUCCGCCGGCUAGGCUUGGGGUAGGAGCCGGGCCGCCGAGGGGCGCGCCGGAGCUGUGCCCGCGGGGAAGGAGCCCAGCAGGCCCCAGGAGCAGAGAGAGUUGAAUGUAAAAAAGAACCCUGAGACCCCCCAGCGAAAAUGUGUGGCGGAAUCCUGCAGAAGGAGUCAACUUUCAGGGUGUUAAAGACUUCCAGUCAUUAGCAUCAGCUGCUGCACUAAAGGGGCAAGCCAGCGCCUCUAAGUGGCUUAGCGCACAAACACUGCACUCCCCACUCCCAUUCCCCAUCCCUUGCCACCUCCCCUGCCCCCACACACAUUUUGCUGUAGUUUCUUAGGGACCACAACUCUCUUAUGGCUACUUCUUUAUCUUAAUUUGCUGUUGUUUACACCUUCUUCCUUCUCUGAAUUCACUUAAGUGAAUUCUAAAACACUGCAAGUUAUUUUUCAGAUGUUUGAGAUAAUUCUUUUGACAUUUCUAAUCCCAUCACCCUUUCUUUAAACAAGUGAUGAGAGAUGCUUGUGUGUGUGUGUGUGUGUGUGUGUGAAUGAGAUGAGGGAAUAAUGAAUGGAGCAUCCAGUUAUAAGCCAAAUGGUGACUUUGGCUUAUAACUUUGAAGAUUUUAUAUAGACACAUAUGAAAACUCUCAGCAUUAAGCCUUGGUCAUUACAUGAGUUGCCCUUAGCCAAACUAUUUUAAAGUGUGGACAAGUAUAAGAGAAAAGAUACGUUCAGAUGGAAGGCAACUGCAGUUUGAGGUUUCUUUGAAAAGUUGAUAACUAACCUGAAAAUUAAGGGCGAAUUCUCCCUUUACUUCCUAGUAUAUGGAGAUUUUGCAACUUUUCUUUCUUCAAGUCAGCUUAGGCAAUGGGCCCUGUCUAAUCAGAAGGAUUCCGAAUUUAUGUGUGGGGGGCGGGGAGCGGGAGAGCAGGGAGCGCGGCUGGCCAGGGCUGGAUGAAAAGAGAGGGGAGGAGCGGGGGUGACAGGAAAACUCAGUGGGAAAUUCCUCGCACUGUUUUUUAAUUUCUCCUCUGCAGAAUUCUUUCCAGGCCUCCUAGUACUGUGGGAGCCAGGGGUAAAGAUGCUCCGUGCCUGGUUGCUUCACUGGGUUCCGGAGGGAGGUCUCAGAGCAUCAAAGCACACACCUUUUCCUUUUAAGCUGCUCUUCGCCAACCCCCAAUCCACUUACUUUGUUUGAACACAGGAUACAAACUAGGCUGUCUCAAGUCCUGGCCACUUUAACUGGCUACUCGUCCGAUUUAUCCUAAAGCUAAUGGAUUGCCCUCUUCAAUGUAGUGGUGGCGUGGGUGGGGCUGAAGGAAUAGGACUGUCUAUACCACUCAAAGGUCUUUCUUCCCUUAGGAGCAGAGAGAGUUGAAUGUAAAAGAACCCUGAGACCCCCCAGCGAAAAUGUGUGGCGGAAUCCUGCAGAAGGAGUCAACUUUCAGGGUGUUAAAGACUUCCAGUCAUUAGCAUCAGCUGCUGCACUAAAGGGGCAAGCCAGCGCCUCUAAGUGGCUUAGCGCACAAACGAGGCUUCCGAGACGGUCUCGGCCACUCCAUCCGCUCUUCCACCACCUGCUGGACGUGAAAAGCUCUCCAGAGCCCACCUCGGUAAUAAUUUUUACUUUUAAUUCACCUUCCCCAACCCCGGGGGUCUUAGAAUACCGGCCUCUCCUGGCAGGGGACCCCCUUGGGGACUAGGCGGAACGCGCCAGGCUGAGGGAGGCGCAGGAAGAGCUUGCGUCUCGCAAUCUGGGUUUUCUUUCCCACCCGUCUCCUCCUCAGCCCUUCUCCCGCCCGGUACUUGUGUACUGGGCCCAAAAGACCCCUGUAAAUCCCCUUCGGAGGUCUGGCGGCGUCUCUACUCCAUCCCUCUUACCCAACACCGUGUUCAAGGAAGGACUGAGCCAAGUUUUCACCAAAGCGCAUCCUUUUUGAGUCUUGCUCUUAAGGGCUUGGUAGUGUGAGCGCUCCUGGAGAGCGCUGGUGAGGGUUUGUCAACCCCCUGGGCAACUAGCUGCGCGUAUCAGCUGCGGCUGGAGGGGCUAAUCCACAAACCCCCUUCCCCUCCAGAAAACUCAGACUCGGGGAAAUGCGCGCGGGGUCCUUGCUCGCUCUGAGUGAACAACCGUUUGCCAGGGGUUCUCCAGGUGCCAAGAGAAACGGGAAAAGGCCCUCUCCAGGUCUUUUUGGUACUUCCCUUUCCGACCCCCAAGCUGAUCACCGCCCCCAACCAGUCCCAGAGGGCCCAGGCUUUCGGAGGAGUUGAGCCGGGCCGAGGUCCGAGAGGCGUUGCCACAUGGGGAAAGAGCUCAGGGGCUGCGCGGGGCGCGGGCAGGCCGGCGAGACCGCUUCCAGGCAGGCGGCGCCGCCGGAGGGAGCGCCCAGCCCAGCAAAGAGUUAAAGGGAGGGGACGUGGGCUGUCACGCGUCAUUGGGCAGAUUAUGUGCAGCAAACAAAAAGUGUGUGUCUGCGUGCCAGUCAGUCACUGCAUCGGGCCCAUCUGUACAACUCUCUCUUCUCUCUCCUCUCCCUACUCUCCCUGGUUUCUCUCUCUGCGUCUC
rnacentral:lncRNA from 1 species